rnacentral:rRNA from 1 species
CUACGGGGUGCAGCAGGCGCGAAAACUUUACAAUGCCGGCAACGGCGAUAAGGGGACCUCGAGUGCCAGGUUACAAAUCUGGCUGUCGUGAUGCCUAAAAAGCAUUGCAUAGCAAGGGCCGGGCAAGACCGGUGCCAGCCGCCGCGGUAACACCGGCGGCUCGAGUGGUAACCGUUAUUAUUGGGUCUAAAGGGUCUGUAGCCGGCCGGAUAAGUCUCUUGAGAAAUCCAGCAGCUCAACUGUUGGGCUUUCAGGAGAUACUGUUCGGCUCGAGGCCGGGAGAGGUGAGAGGUACUUCAGGGGUAGGGGUGAAAUCUUGUAAUCCUUGAAGGACCACCAGUGGCGAAGGCGUCUCACCAGAACGGACCUGACGGCAAGGGACGAAAGCUAGGGGCACGAACCGGAUUAGAUACCCGGGUAGUCCUAGCCGUAAACGAUACUCGCUAGGUGUCGGCCACGGUGCGACCGUUGUCGGUGCCGUAGGGAAGCCGUGAAGCGAGC